rnacentral:lncRNA from 1 species
UCACUUGGCUCCGACCCUCCUCCAUAUCUGCCCGCAGCUCCCUCCGUCGUCAAGCCUUCCGAUCGAGACCAGCAGCAGGGAACAUCGUCCAUCCGAGCUAAGUAAUUAGGUCGAAAAUGACCCGUGCCAGCAGCAGUAGCAGCAGCCGGCGUGUGACGCUGGUACUGCUCGGUCUCCGCCUGCUGCUUCUGGUUGGUGUUGCGCAGGCGGUAGUGGAGUUGGUGCCUGCUGAUGAUAAUAUCGCCGCCGCCGCUGCUGGCACGGCGGUGGACGAUGGCGAGCCGCCUCAGCAGUGCGCGACCCCGGUGAGCGUGGAGGAGGCGUGCCGCGGCGCGUCCGAGACGCACGCCGGCGUGGCCUACGACCACUGCAUGGCGUCGCUGGGCGCCGACCCGCGCAGCAAGGAGGCCGGCAACAAGAACAUGCACGGGCUGGCGGUGCUGGCCACCAGGAUGGCCAUCGACCACGCCGCCAGCACCGAGUCCAAGAUCGACGACCUCGCGGAGCUGGAGGCGGCGUCGUCGGAUCCGCAGGCGCGCGCCCGCUUCAACCACUGCCUGGAGCAGUACGGCGGCGCCGCCGACCUCCUCCGCGACGCGCUGGACAACCUCAAGGCGAAGAUCUACGGCAAGGCCAUGGAGCAGCUGACCGCCGCAAUGGGCGCCUCCGAGAGCUGCGAGGACGCGUGGAAGGGCGAGGAGGAGGAUGUCCCCGUCGCCGCGCACGACAGGGAGUACGGUCGGAUGGCGCACAUCGCCUUCGGAUUCACACACCACGCCGCCGUCGCCGCCGCCGCCGCAUGAAUCGAUUAAUUAUUAUAUAUAUAUAUGCAUGCUAUCUACUAUGAUCGAUCGCUUCUCGACCUUCUUGCAUCGAUCUGCAUGCAUAUUAUAAUUUAUAUUAUAUUGAUGCCACGCCGCAUGCAGGUCUUUCCAAGGCGUACGUACUAUAUCAAAUUAUUUUAAUUUCCUUACAUGUAUAUGUAUGUGCUGCUGUUGGAUACGUACGUAUAUAUAUAUGUUCUAGGGUUUCCGGUUCCGGCCUUGUUACAUGCAUGAAGAGAAGAAACACAAUCAAUAAAAGCCUUAUUCAUUUAUUAUGUAUUAACCAGUUGUUCAUCAUCUGUUUCUAUAUAUAUCUCUACUGCUAUACAUAUGAUAC